rnacentral:rRNA from 1 species
GACGAACGCUGGCGGCGUGCCUAAUACAUGCAAGUUGAGCGAUGAAGAUUUGUGCUUGCACCAAUUUGAAGAGCAGCGAACGGGUGAGUAACGCGUGGGGAAUCUGCCUUUGAGCGGGGGACAACAUUUGGAAACGAAUGCUAAUACCGCAUAAUAACUUUAAACAUAAGUUUUAAGGUUGAAAGAUGCAAUUGCAUCACUCAAAGAUGAUCCCGCGUUGUAUUAGCUAGUUGGUGAGGUUAAGGCUCACCAAGGCGAUGAUACAUAGCCGACCUGAGAGGGUUGUCGGCCACAUUGGGACUGAGACACGGCCCCAACUCCUACGGGAGGCAGCAGUAGGGGAUCUUCGGCAAUAGACGAAAGUCUGACCGAGCAACGCCGCGUGAGUGAAGAAGGUUUUCGGAUCGUAAAACUCUGUUGGUAGAGAAGAAAGUUGGUGAGAGUGGAAAGCUCAUCAAGUGACGGUAACUACCCAGAAAGGGACGGCUAACUACGUG